rnacentral:lncRNA from 1 species
AGGUCAAUUUGAAGAUUGACAUCUUCAUCAUAUUGAUCUUCUGGUCCAUGAAGACUGGCCUAUGUGUGACUUUGCCUACGGUUUCUUGACUCUGGCUGGCUGGCAUUUUAUACUCUCCAGUCUGUAGCUGCUGAAGUACCUGUAUUAAAUGUAAUCUUAGGUGUUGGCUUGAGACUACGAUUAACCCAUUAUUUAUAAAAUAUGGAGAUCUCUUGGGUGUGUGCACCGAUCAUGCCCCCUAUAAAUACUGACUGCUCCAUUUCAUGCUUCUCAGUCCGUUCAGCCUUUAUUCCUGUUGAAUAGUUUGGUGCAUUGAUCCUAUCGGACGGCCAGUCCAUCUUUGGCUGCACAGGAGGGGAGAACAGAGUCCCAUACUGUGGUACAUUCCGCACUGCUGAGAUGCUCUGAUUAUUCCAUGCACAUUAUUGGACAUUUGAGUGACGUUGAGUCAUUUCAACCUAAUGAACUGAUUGGAAGCUGACUCGCCCCGAGACCUGCUCUCUUCCCAUGCGCCUGUUGGGUAACCACCAGAGAAGACUGCUCAGGCAUGAAUGGACACAAGAACCUGGAAGUCUCGGUACAUGCUGACUGGACCCUAGUGUUUGUCGUGUCAGUAAGACUUGAGGAAAACACUUUGAAGCUGUGUCAUUGAAAUGCACAUUGGCGAGAACAAGCGUCCUGCUGUUGGCAAGAGGAGAGAGCAGUCAACAGAACGCUGAAGAUUCCGAGGCUGGUUCCCAUGAUGCCAUCUGACCACUUGCACCCCAGUCCUCGCUAUCCCUCCAGGGCAUCUUAUCGCAGCCUUGAUGGAGUCUGCACCUUGGCUGCAAAGGGAACACAAACUUCCUCAAGCAACGCAGUGCUGCAGACACAAGAGCCGCUUUCGCUCCAGAUGGGAUCCAAGGCAACUGCUGUGUAGAAACUUCCCUUGGCUUCACUGGUCUUUUCUUUUCUUCUUAUUUUUCCCCCUCCCUCUGUUUCUGCCAAGUUGUUGAUGUCCUGGCUGUCUGGAAAAGACUGCAUUUGAGCAACCAGAGACAACCAGCCUCUUAAGAACGACUACAGCAAGGAAUCUCGUUCUUAGAAAAUUAGUUUGUGCUGCUGUGUUGAUCCUACUGAAAGAAGGGGUGAGGGGAAGACCCUCAAGGCUAAUUUAUAUAAACACACAG